rnacentral:rRNA from 1 species
CAACUUUCAACAACGGAUCUCUUGGCUCUCGCAUCGAUGAAGAACGCAGCGAAAUGCGAUACGUAAUGUGAAUUGCAGAAUUCAGUGAAUCAUCGAAUCUUUGAACGCACCUUGCGCCCCUUGGCAUUCCGAGGGGCACACCCGUUUGAGUGUCGUGAACAUCCUCAACCUGCUUCGUUCUAUCGAACCAAGUAGGCUUGGAAUUUGGAGGUUUUUCUGCUGGCUUCCUCUGAAGCCCAGCUCCUCUUAAAUCUAUCAGUGGGAUCCGCUUUGCUAGAUCCUCGACGUUGAUAAGAUGUUUCUACGUCUUGGGUUUCGCUCGGGAAGGACCUGCUUCUAACCGUCCCCAUCGGGGACAAUGUUCGAGAGUCCGAUCGCCCUUCACGGGGUGGGAAGCUUUUCGACCCAUGAAAACCUUGACCUCAAUCGGGUGAGACUACCCGCUGAACUUAAGCAUAUCAAUAAGCGGAGGAAAAGAAACUAACAAGGAUUCCCCUAGUAACUGCGAGUGAAGCGGGAAAAGCUCAAAUUUAA